rnacentral:rRNA from 1 species
AUUGAACGCUGGCGGCAGGCCUAACACAUGCAAGUCGAGCGGAUGAAGGGAGCUUGCUCCUGGAUUCAGCGGCGGACGGGUGAGUAAUGCCUAGGAAUCUGCCUGGUAGUGGGGGAUAACGUCCGGAAACGGGCGCUAAUACCGCAUACGUCCUGAGGGAGAAAGUGGGGGAUCUUCGGACCUCACGCUAUCAGAUGAGCCUAGGUCGGAUUAGCUAGUUGGUGGGGUAAAGGCCUACCAAGGCGACGAUCCGUAACUGGUCUGAGGGGAUGAUCAGUCACACUGGAACUGAGACACGGUCCAGACUCCUACGGGAGGCAGCAGUGGGGAAUAUUGGACAAUGGGCGAAAGCCUGAUCCAGCCACGCCGCGUGUGUGAAGAAGGUCUUCGGAUUGUAAAGCACUUUAAGUUGGGAGGAAGGGCAGUAAGUUAAUACCUUGCUGUUUUGACGUUACCAACAGAAUAAGCACCGGCUAACUUCGUG